AACGAACGCUGGCGGCAUGCCUAACACAUGCAAGUCGAACGAGACCUUCGGGUCUAGUGGCGCACGGGUGCGUAACGCGUGGGAACCUGCCCUUAGGUUCGGAAUAACUCCCCGAAAGGGGUGCUAAUACCGGAUAAUGUCUUCGGACCAAAGAUUUAUCGCCUUUGGAUGGGCCCGCGUUGGAUUCGCUAGUUGGUAGGGUAAAAGCCUACCAAGGCGACGAUCCAUAGCUGGUCUGAGAGGAUGAUCAGCCACACUGGGAGUGAGACACGGCCCAGACUCCUACGGGAGGCAGCAGUGGGGAAUAUUGGACAAUGGGCGAAAGCAUGAUCCAGCAAUGCCGCGUGAGUGAUGAAGGCCUUAGGGUUGUAAAGCUCUUUUACCCGGGAUGAUAAUGACAGUACCGGGAGAAUAAGCUCCGGCUAACUCCGUG
rnacentral:rRNA from 1 species